GGCGGCAUUUGCCAACAAACGUUUUCAUUAAUCAAGAACGAAAGUUAGGGGAUCGAAGAUGAUCAGAUACCGUCGUAGUCUUAACCAUAAACUAUGCCGACUAGGGAUCGGGCGUUGUUCUUUUUAUGACUCGCUCGGCACCUUACGAGAAAUCAAAGUUUUUGGGUUCUGGGGGGAGUAUGGUCGCAAGGCUGAAACUUAAAGGAAUUGACGGAAGGGCACCACCAGGAGUGGAGCCUGCGGCUUAAUUUGACUCAACACGGGAAAUCUCACCAGGUCCAGACACAAUAAGGAUUGACAGAUUGAGAGCUCUUUCUUGAUUUUGUGGGUGGUGGUGCAUGGCCGUUCUUAGUUGGUGGAGUGAUUUGUCUGCUUAAUUGCGAUAACGAACGAGACCUUAACCUACUAAAUAGUGCUGUUAGCUUCGGCUGAACUGGCACUUCUUAGAGGGACUAUCGAUUUCAAGUCGAUGGAAGUUUGAGGCAAUAACAGGUCUGUGAUGCCCUUAAACGUUCUGGGCCGCACGCGCGCUACACUGACGGAGCCAGCAAGUACUAUCCUUGGCCCAAAGGUCCGGGUAAUCUCGUGAAACUCCGUCCUGCUGGGGAUAGAGCAUUGAAAUUAUUGCUCUUCAACAAGGAAUUCCUAG
rnacentral:rRNA from 1 species